UGACUUGUUCUAUAUAAAUGUUUCUAACAUGCAGGUAACAUUUAUAUAUGUAUUAGUUUGAAUAAAUCAUUUUAAUAAAGUUACAUUAUAGGCAGGAAUGUUUGACUGGAAAUAUAAACGAUGUUGUACAUAAUGCAGAUAGCUUAGGCAAAAAAGAGAUUGGUGAAAUGGAGAAUGAGACUAACUAGGGUAAAAAAAAAAUGAAUAUUAAUAUGUGAAUGGUACUUUGUUUAACAUCUACCUGUUUCUACAGAUACAGUACAGACGCAUUUAUAAAUGGGCUUGAUGUUUUUUUGAAUUAAAUAUGUUGUAUUGA